rnacentral:rRNA from 1 species
GACGAAGGUGGCGAGCGUUGUUCGGAAUCACUGGGCAUAAAGCGCACGUAGGCGGCGACGUAAGUUGGGUGUGAAAUCCCCCGGCCCAACCGGGGAACUGCGCCCAGUACUGCGUUGCUUGAGGAUCCAAGGGGUGCAUGGAAUUCCCGGUGGAGCGGCGAAAUGCGUUGAUAUCGGGAGGAACUCCGGCGGCGAAAGCGGUGCACUGGUGGAUUACUGACGCUGAGGUGCGAAAGCCAGGGGAGCAAACGGG